GGGCGGGGUGGGCGUUCGGCCCUUCCUUCAGUGUGCCCCCUGCAGGUGGAAGUGCAACACUCCGCGCCUUUGCCUGCCCCGCUGGCCAGGACGCGGCCACCUGAUUGUCUGCCUUGCUGCAGCCACAGUGAUCCUCCUGACGCGAACUUCGGACCCAGCUACUUACUUUUCUGUUCAAGAACUCACACUGGCAUCCCAGGAUAAAGUCCAAAGUCCUUAACCUGCCGCCAUUCAGGAUUCCUUCCCUUGAACUUCAGAGCCGAACAGGUAGAAGGAACAGCAGUUUCAGCCAUCAGCAGUUAAGGAAGAUCUCUGUGACUGCCUGGACAAAUAAGUACUGCAGAAGGGCUACUAUAUUAUUUAUGAGGCUGGAUCAUAAAAAUGCCAUACACUUCCACCUUCUUCUCUUGGAAUGCUCAUUCUUGGAACCCAUCAGUCAUGCUAAGGGAAAGCUCAGUGAACCCCUGGAGAAAGCACCUGGAGAGGCCACAUGUAAGUUUUCCAUCUGAUAGCCCAGCUGAGGUCCGAAACAAUAUCCAGCUUCAAGUACCAAACAAGUGAAUGAUGCCUCUAGAUGAUUCUGUCGCUCAGCAAUCAAGUCACUCCAGACUUUGAGUCUUUUUAGCUGAGGCUCUCAACAUUGUGGAGAGAUAAAUUGUCCCUGCUGUGCUCUGUUCUGAUUAGUGACUCACAGAAUCUAUGAGUAGAAACCAUUGGUUACUUUAUGCUACAAAGUUUUCGGGUGGUUUGUUACACAGCAAUAGAUAACUGAUAACAGCAUCUGAUGAUAUGAUCAUUUGGUAAUUCUUUAUUUAAUGUAAUCAUUUUUAAUGCAAUCAUUAAAUCAUUAAAUCAUUAUUUAAUGCAAUCAUUUAAUGUAAUAUUUAAGCACUUGUGUAUUCCUAAAAUAAACUGUUCUUGCUCA